CCUAGCAUUUAUCACUAUCAGGUAUAGAAUAUAUUUUACAAAUGUAUUUGUUUACUGUCUAUCUCUCCAAGUGUGAAUGUCAUCACCAUGAGGAUAUGUAUAUUGUCGAUAUUUGUGAAUAAUUUAUAUGUUUUCCUAAGUGCUGUAACUGCAAUGUCUAUGAUAGUAGCUAACCUAUAGUUAGUACCAAAAUUUUUAAUUUAAUGAAGGUGUUUAGUCUUUGCAAACAAUGCCUUGAGAUAUUUUUACCUUUGUUGAAACCACCAAGGCUGAAAAGAUAAAGUGACUUACUGAAGUCAUAAAGCAAGUAACUAUUCAGGCAGGUUUGUGGAUUCUCAAGUUCAAUACUCUUUAUUCUCUGUACUGCUUCUAGAAAAUGGAAUCAUCUCAGCCAAAGUUUGUCUAUUUGCUCUACAGCUUUAUAGACCUUUGAAAACAUGAUGAGCAGGUCUAGAAAUUAUAGCCAGGGAAUAUACCUUUUAAAUACCCUUCAUGGUUAGGCCUCUUUCAGAAGGUCAUUAAUGUGGAUGAGCAGGUAGCUUUGGAAGGAACACAAAUGGGGUGUAAGGGAGAACAGGGAUCAGCUCAGACCAUCUGCAUCAACCCUGGAAAUCAGUGUGUUGACAGAUGUCACAGCCUGUUUUCCCUCAUAACCAAUAACCUGAAUGCCAUGAAACAUUUGCUGAGACAAGAAAAUGAAUUAUACACAAAAUAUAAGCUUACAUAAGGACUUUAACUGAGAAGAAAGAACAGUGAAAAACUAGAUAUUUGAAAUCUUCAUUCCCCACCUGAUGCAUACUUAGUAACACACAUUCAUUCCCAACAUAUACUGUGCCUUGUUUACUUAUAUUUUCAUCUAUUUUCCUCUAGCCUAUUUUAAAAAUAAAAUCAAGUAAUUCAAUUUCCCAUUACACAUACCACAUUUAUAGACUUGUAUUCUUUCUCCCCUCACCCCAGCUUUCAAGCAACAAUCAGAUCCAUAAGCAAAGAUUAGUCAACAUUUGAAGAACACGAUGAGGGGGAAGUUAUUGCCAGAACAGAGAGAGAGAGUCAGUUAAACUCAGAGAGUAACUCCUCCAGGAGUUCCCGUCAUGGCUCAGUGGUUAACGAAUCUGACUAGUAACCAUGAGGUUGCAGGUUCAAUCCCUGUCCUCUCUCAGUGGAUUAAGGAUCUUCCAUUGCUGACCUGUGGUGUAGGUUAGGUCUCAGAUGUGGAUCAGAUCCUCAUUGCUGUAGCUCUGGGCUAUAGGCUGGUGGCUACAGCUCUAAUUAGACCUCUAGCCUGGGAACCUCCACAUGCCCUGGGUAUGGCCCUAGACAAAAAAAGAAAAAAAAGAAAAUAUCUUCGCCACAAGGAAUGGGUGAAAGAAUCAACUAUUACCCAGCUGCCCCUAUUUUUUCUACAAACCAUUCUUUUCUCACUACUCCCCUGGACUAGAGUGACUGUUAUGGUAGAAUUCAUAAGACCAGAAUUUUGUAAAAUUUAACAGAGUCGAGUACCUUUUUAGAAAGACAGUGUGCCUAAACCAUUAUGUCUAUUCUUCUGUCUAUAAAUGCUACUAAUCGAUAAAGAAUAUAUAACCAAAAGAAACAGAACAAAUUUGACCAAUAAAGGAUAUUAAGAAUAUGUAGGGAAUCUAUGGGAACUGAGAACAGUUACUGCCCAGGCAUUAUUAGUCACACAAAAGAAUAUCACGCUGUGAUGAUCUUUUCUGGAGUGGCAGAACCAAAAAUAAACCUAACCCUUCUGAAAGUGAAAGAAAGUAAAAUGAAUCAAUUAUUUACCCAGGUUAACUUAAAAUUAUGUAACUGGAUCCAAAAAAGUUCUACUAGGAAGACUCAUGUAGCUUUAUGAGCUGGCAGAGCUCCCCUGAAAUCCAAAGGGACCUGAUUUUAAAACAUGUAACUUAUGAACAUCCUGAAGAUAAGCUACAGCUUCCAAUAUUGGUGAUAACUCACCUCCAAUUUUCUGUUUAACAAAUUCUUUAGUAAAAACAGAGCUACUGAAAUAAUUAAUGUAAUAAUUUCUGUCCAACUCCCACUCCUCCACCGACUUGUUUCUUUACCACUAACUUUGGAAUAAGUCAAAAUCUUGCUAACAGCAGUGGCUGAGAAUAUCAAAGAGAGAUACAAGUUGAAAAAGGAACAGUGAGUCAUUAUCCAAAUGCUUCCCCUUCUAUCCUUUUGAAAACAGAAAAUAUCAGGAAAAGUAAGAAUAUAUUUUUAAGCAUAAAUGUAUCACAAACUUAUGAAGAAACAAUAUUAGCUUUUAAAUGAGUUGGGGAUUUAGAACACUUAAAUUUUUCUAAAAUUUAAGAUGAUAUGAGUGAUGGUAAAAUUGUAUAGCUCAAGUUUUCUCCAAAAAAAGAGAACUAAAGAGCCCUUAGGUACAUCAGAGCAAGUCACUAAAUGAUUACUAGUGAAAGUCAUACUUUGAUGGUGUUCUAAAUAAUAUUUUAACUAACAAAAUGAAAAAUUACAAUAUUUGUGUUUCAGAAAUAUGUAGUUUGGUUUUGAAAGAAGCAUUACAUACAUUACCUUUCAUUUACACAAUAGGAAAAGCUAAUUAAAAAACAACCACUAUAUCAUAAUACAUUUCAAAGCUGCCCCAAAUGAUAUAUUACAUUGAAUGCUUUAGAGUGGCAUCCACUACAUUUCUUAUGCACAACAUUAUGCUAAUAACUAUCCUUUCAACCUCAGAAUUCCUGAGCUAAUCAGCCACUUUUGUGGUCCAGGGUAAAAUUGUUCAUUUUCUUGCCCACUUAUCAAGAUCUAUAUGCUUAUUUGAACAUUGGCUUUGCAUGCAGAGAACUCACAUUGUCUCUGCAACAUAUGCUUAUCCAAAGGGUAAGAAGGGAAUGCUAAGCCUCUCAACACAAGCCCACACACAGUAGGGAUGAGAGACAAUCUCUAAGAAAGGGAGAUACCCUACUGAGAGCAAAAAGGUAGCAUGGUGUCAGAUGUAGGAUCUGAGAGAAUAAACCUUCCUGAAAGAUACUUGUUUUUAGUACUUAACCUUUAUCAAAAGUGUAUUAUCAAUAUAUUAAUGUAUAAAAUUACAAGUUCAAAAGUAUUUAGAUCAUAGAAUUCACUUUUAUACCCUUCACAUAUUGUGUACAAAUUAAAAGAGAGUGCUUCUAAUAAUGCCCCUAAAGAAUUACUGAGGAGCAGUAAAUAGAAUAAGCUCCCAAAGUCAAAGGAAAUGCUUAAGCCAAUGAUCAAGCUACUUUUCUCUGUACUGAAACACUGGUGCUGUCUUCCAAAGAUAAACUGCUCUUAGCACUUGUUCGGGCCUCGUCUUAAGGGCAUAGUAACUAAAGGUCAUAAUCCACUAAUUAAUCAACUGCAGACUCAUUUAGAACCUUCUAAAUAAUGCUUCUAGGUUUCCAGUCUUCCCACAGCAAAGAAUGCCAACUUGUCAAAUAUAAAUGUAAUAUCCCCUAAGUAAUAUUAUGGCCUCAUCUGUAUGUUUCCCGUCGUGGCGCAGUGGUUAACGAAUCCGACUAGGAACCAUGAGGUUGCGGGUUCGGUCCCUGACCUUGCUCAGUGGGUUAGCGAUCCAGCAUUGCCCUGAGCUGUGGUGUAAGUUGCAGACGCACCUCAGAUCCCUCGGUGCUGUGGCUCUGGCGUAGGCCGGUGGCUACAGCUCCAAUUCGACCCCUAGCCUG
rnacentral:lncRNA from 1 species